GACAGAGGGGGCAAGCGUUGUCCGGAGUUACUGGGCGUAAAGCGCGCGUAGGCGGUACGGUAAGUAAGGUGUGAAAGCCCCAGGCUUAACCUGGGGAGGUCAUCUUCGACUGCCGCACUCGAGUCGUGCAGAGGGUGGUGGAAUUGCCGGUGUAGUGGUGAAAUGCGUAGAGAUCGGCAGGAACACCAAGGGCGAAAGCAGCCACCUGGGCACGUACUGACGCUGAGGUGCGAAAGCGUGGGGAGCAAACAGG
rnacentral:rRNA from 1 species